UAUUUAUUUGCUUCUAAAAUAGAAAUUCCCUACUUAAUCAUCCCAUUGUGUUUUAUUUUAUCUCCUCACUCCGUUACUCUUAUUAACUCACGGCUUGAGAAGGAAAAAAAAAAAAACACCCUCACGGCUUGAUGUUCUCCUCUCUUUAAAAAUAAAAAUCCCUAACUACUCUGUUCAAACUCAUUGAUAUCGCUUUUCACCACCAAAACAGCCACUCAUCUCUUUAUUUAAGCACAAUGUUUUCUUUUUUCAAACCUAAUUGAUCAUUCUUCAACGUCUCUAGGAUUAUAUAUGGUAUGCUAUUUUUUUUCCUUCAAUUGAAUAGAAAGUCUGGAACUUUUUUUUUUUUUUUUUAUUUCAUUCACUUUUCCCUUGUUGAGUAGUAUGGACGGAGAUCAUGACAAUAAUUGAACAAUGGGGAUAAAUAUCAAAUAAAGAGCGUACAUGCCCUAUAUCCCUCUCUUUGGAUGAUAAUGGAGGCGAGGUUUCAAAGUACAGAGCUUUGCAUGUCUUAGUUGUCAUUUAUAUUGCUGCACGCCAAUUGCUUGAUAAAAUACCGCAACGAAUAUGCAUUCUUGAUUUCCUUGUAAAUUUAUUUUCCUAAUCUGAAGACACUUGAAUGUUUAGAGAAUUUUGAAAGCUUUGGUGUAUGCAUUAAUAUUUUGAUCCGAUUUAUGUUGUUUAACUAAUGAAGAUGAUGAAUAUAGCCUCUUUUUGCCCCAUUUGUUUUUAUUCUUGUGCUUCAUAUACGGUUCAAGUGUGAUAUACUUUAGUUUUUCUCAAGUGUUUGUUCCUGGCUAUGGUAAUGAAAACAAAUAAUGAGUCUAUUUUUUUUUCUGUCUUAAAACAAAUAAUGAGUCUUCAUGUUUAUAAUAAUUCUUACAAACUUCAUAUGGUUUGGCAUAAAAUUAGGUAAUUGGAGAGGCCUCAUGUUGGUUGAAAUUAUCAAUUAUAUGCAGUCCCUACAAAAUUAAGUGGAGGUAACUUUGCUACUAAAAACCUUAUUAAAGUAAUAAUGAAUUAAUCUUGUGUAAUAUAUUUUUGUAUUCCUGCACAACUUUUUAUAUUUUUAUUUACUGAGUUUUUUGCUUUUUUUUUUGCACUAUUUUCUCUUAAUUUCGUGCAAUAUUUUUUUACUAUUUCUAGGUCUUUCUAUCUUGUUUUUGGAUCACUACAGUUGCUGGUUGUGAUUUAUUGUAGCCUAUGGUUUUAGGUCUCUAUAGUUACUGAGUUUUGUUUACUGCAGCUACUUUAUUAAAGUACUUUUAGAUAUUGAAGUUUAUGGCUAACUUUUAUUAGAUGCUUCUAACUUUUGUUGAAACAUUUUCUUAACCUUUACAUUUAAGAUUUUUUUUUUUAAAGUAAUUGAAUCCUUACUAACAUUUUCUAACAAAAUCAAUUACAGAAACGAUGAGGAAAAAACAAGCAGAAUCAUUGUAAGGUGUUUUCUAUGCAUCGUCGUUGAUCAAGUCUCAUGUGCAACAUCUAAAUGAAAUGGUACUUGAAAUAAUAGAGACUUUGUUUUAUGACUCUUACAUUUACAUUUCUUUGUAAGGAAUCAUAUUUAUUUGGAUUUCAAUGUCAUGCUUUGUAUUUGAAUCGCUUAGAUUAUAAUUAAAUAUUUUAAGGUCUUUUUUCAUGUGACUACAAUUUUUUGGUCACUAGAUUUCAAUUUAUUUGACUACAAUAUGUCUUGGUGGAUUUUUUUUUUUUAAAUGAUGAUUGAGAGUAAUCACUUUAAUUUUUUGGAUACGAU
rnacentral:lncRNA from 1 species